GAUGAAGAACGUAGCGAAAUGCGAUAAGUAAUGUGAAUUGCAGAAUUCAGUGAAUCAUCGAAUCUUUGAACGCAUCUUGCGCUCCUUGGUAUUCUGAGGAGCAUGCCUGUUUGAGUGUCAUUAAAUUCUCAACUACACUGACUUUGAAUUGGUGUGGCUUGGAUUUGGGGGGAAAAUUGUUGUGGGCUUUUUGUAUAGUCUGCUCCCCUGAAAUUGAUUAGCGGUACCUUUGUGGAACUGUCUACAGGUGUUAUAAUUAUCUACAUCUUAGACAUCUGCUGGAAUGCUGCUUUCUAAACCUUACUUGUAUUGACAAUCUUGACCUCAAAUCAGGUAGGACUACCCGCUGAACUUAAGCAUAUCAAUAAGCGGAGGA
rnacentral:misc_RNA from 1 species